UACGAAGGGGGCUAGCGUUGCUCGGAAUCACUGGGCGUAAAGGGUGCGUAGGCGGGUCUUUAAGUCAGGGGUGAAAUCCUGGAGCUCAACUCCAGAACUGCCUUUGAUACUGAGGAUCUUGAGUUCGGGAGAGGUGAGUGGAACUGCGAGUGUAGAGGUGAAAUUCGUAGAUAUUCGCAAGAACACCAGUGGCGAAGGCGGCGCACUGGCCCGGUACUGACGCUGAGGUGCGAAAGCGUGGGGAGCAAACAGG
rnacentral:rRNA from 1 species